UGGGGAAUAUUGGACAAUGGGCGAAAGCCUGAUCCAGCCAUGUCGCGUGUGUGAAGAAGGUCUUCGGAUUGUAAAGCACUUUAAGUUGGGAGGAAGGGCAUUAACCUAAUACGUUAGUGUUUUGACGUUACCGACAGAAUAAGCACCGGCUAACUCUGUGCCAGCAGCCGCGGUAAUACAGAGGGUGCAAGCGUUAUUCGGAAUUACUGGGCGUAAAGCGCGCGUAGGUGGUUUGUUAAGUUGGAUGUGAAAUCCCCGGGCUCAACCUGGGAACUGCAUUCAAAACUGACUGACUAGAGUAUGGUAGAGGGUGGUGGAAUUUCCUGUGUAGCGGUGAAAUGCGUAGAUAUAGGAAGGAACACCAGUGGCGAAGGCGACCACCUGGACUAAUACUGACACUGAGGUGCGAAAGCGUGGGGAGCAAACA
rnacentral:rRNA from 1 species